rnacentral:lncRNA from 1 species
UCAGAUACAGAAAAUCCCUGAUUACCUGUAGUCUCGGUCUGAGCAACAUAAGCAUUCUUGGGUGAUCGACCAUGUAAAGAAUAGCACACGUCACGAGUGUGACCAAGUUUAUGACAAUAAGAACACUUGGGUCUAGAUCUUCCAAAACGACCUCCUCCUCGUCUAUUCUCCAUAGUAUGAGAAGCCCGGUUGUCCACUGAUUAGGAUACGAGGAUAGAUGAAUCAAGUGUCUGUGAUGAGCUCACUGGAUGACUUGGUGCUGCAGCAAGGCGAAGUAAUCGAGAGAAUAAUUCAUCAACUGUGUGACUGUCGGACUAGCCAAAAUCUGAUCCCGUACUGAGUCGAGAUCAUUAGGAAGCCCAACAAGAGUAAGAACUAGAAACAACUUUUGUCGUUGCUCUUGCUGCUUUGCAACGCUAGCAGAAACUGGCAUCAACGUCUCAAAUUCCUC